UACGUAGGUGGCAAGCGUUGUCCGGAAUUACUGGGCGUAAAGCGCACGCAGGCGGUCUGUCAAGUCGGAUGUGAGAUCCCCGGGCUCAACCUGGGAACUGCAUUCGAAACUGGCAGGCUAGAGUCUUGUAGAGGGGGGUAGAAUUCCAGGUGUAGCGGUGAAAUGCGUAGAGAUCUGGAGGAAUACCGGUGGCGAAGGCGGCCCCCUGGACAAAGACUGACGCUCAGGUGCGAAAGCGUGGGGAGCAAACAGG
rnacentral:rRNA from 1 species